UAGGUGAAGGAAUAUCAAAGGGAAAGGAGAUAGCUAGAGAUUAGAAGAGGAAAAGAAAAGAAGAAUUCAAGAAAGGUUUGGUGUUUUAAUGAUUUUCUGUUUUCCUUUGAUUCUGCCAUGAAUAAGUGAAAUUAGGGGUUGAUUUUACUUGCUGGAAAUGUUGCUUUGAUUGUAUAAAUAUGUUAUAUGAAUGUUAAAAUGAUGUUUGAAAGGCUUAGAGUAAAGAAAUUUAACAUGGGAGCAAAAAGUGUAAAUCUGGCAGAAUAGGUUGUAACAGGACAACUUGUGUUACUAACUUCAUAACUUAUUGUGUCUAUAUUGAAAUUAGGCCUAAGAUAUACCAAAUGAAAGCUA
rnacentral:lncRNA from 1 species